rnacentral:misc_RNA from 1 species
AACGCACAUUGCGCUCUCUGGUAUUCCGGGGAGCAUGCUCGUUUCAGAAUCAUCACAAUCUCAAGAGCCUGCUGGGGUUUCGACCUUGGCCGGUUGUCUUGGAUCUUGGGCCGCUUUCCGCUUCGGUGGAAUGGCCUUAAAUGGAUUGUGUGCGCGUCUCACCGGUCAGGUGGACGUCUCAAGUGCAACAGAUGUUUAUCGUUUCGUUACCACUUGAGGUGUUCUCUUCAACGGAGGGAUCAUCGCGCUCCUCCUCUUCAUCACAGGUCGCGACGGCUCCGGUCGGCGCCUCCUGAAGACUUGGUCUGAAAUCGAGCAAGAAAACCCGCUGAACUUAA